GACGAACGCUGGCGGCGUGCUUAACACAUGCAAGUCGAACGAUGAAGCCGGAGCUUGCUCUGGUGAAUUAGUGGCGAACGGGUGAGUAACACGUGAGUAACCUGCCCUUGACUCUGGGAUAACUGCGGGAAACUGUAGCUAAUACCGGAUACGACCCUCGGAGGCAUCUCCUGGGGGUGGAAAGAAUUUCGGUCAAGGAUGGACUCGUGGCCUAUCAGCUAGUUGGUGAGGUAAAGGCACACCAAGGCGACGACAGGUAGCCGGCCUGAGAGGGGGACCGGCCACACUGGGACUGAGAGACGGCCCAGACUCCUACGGGAGGCAGCAGUGGGGAAUAUUGCACAAUGGGCGCAAGCCUGAUGCAGCAACGCCGCGUGAGGGAUGACGGCCUUCGGGUUGUAAACCUCUUUUAGCAGGGAAGAAGCGAAAGUGACGGUACCUGCAGAAAAAGCACCGGCUAACUACGUGCCAGCAGCCGCCGUAA
rnacentral:rRNA from 1 species